rnacentral:rRNA from 1 species
UACGUAGGGUGCGAGCGUUGUCCGGAAUUAUUGGGCGUAAAGAGCUCGUAGGCGGUGUGUCGCGUCGGCCGUGAAAACCUGGGGCUCAACUCUGGGCGUGCGGUCGAUACGGGCAUCACUUGAGUUCGGCAGGGGAGACUGAAUUCCUGGUGUAGCGGUGAAAUGCGCAGAUAUCAGGAGGAACACCGGUGGCGAAGGCGGGUCUCUGGGCCGAUACUGACGCUGAGGAG